GAAGCUCAAGCUCGCUCCUCGGCGGUCCUUCGGCCUGGAAGGCCAGCUGACAGCUUCCAGCUUCCAGUGGCGGAGCAGCUGUCGCCGCGGGAAGGAGAGGGGGCGGAGCCGCAGGAGGCGUGGCGUGGUGCGUGAAUCCCGGGAACGCCGGCACCGGAACGGGGAACGCCGGCAACGAAACGGCGGAACGGCGAACGAGGAACGCCGAGCGGCCGACCCAGAGAGAGUCAGUCUUUGGCAGCCAGCAGCCGACAGCAGAUGCCGACGAGGAUGCAGAGAAACCGAAACCGAAACGGAAACCGAAACCGAAACCCAAAUCCAAAUCGAAAUCGAAACCAAAACCGAAAUCGAAAUCGAAAUAGAAACUAUCACUGAAACCGAAAUUGAAACUGAAACUGAAUCCGAACUGAACUGAACUGAGACUGGGAAAGUGCGCGGCUGUGUGUUCCAUUGCCAAAUCGUGGCCAAAUCGUUCCAGUGGCAGUGUGCAUCAACAAGGGGGCGGGCGCCGCGAAAGGGGGCGGGGCAGGACACCAAAAGCAAAGACGAACCCCAAAACGGCCGCGAGCAACAAAAAUAAAAUCGGAAAAGGCCCAGAAAUCCUGUCAAGGAAAACGUGCUGAAAAGCCCACAAAAUUCAAGAAAACAACCUACAUUUUUUACACAUUUUUUUAAGAAAACCAUUUUUUUUACUGUGUACGUGUGUGUGUGUGUGUGUAAAAAGACCAAUCAAAGGUAUAAGAAGAAAGGCGAAAAAAGUGCGGCAAAUGGAGAGAUUAAAACCGAGCGAUAAAGAUACAUAAAUCCAUGGGAUUUUGCGUGCGUGUGCUUAACCUUGACAUAUCAAACAAAACAACAAAAUUAGACCCGUGUGUAAAAGUAAUGCCAUUGUGUCUGCAGUGCGGAUUCUGCGAUGUUUGGCAUCGUUGAAAUUCCGCUGACAUGCCAUGCAUUUCGGCGAUAAAUCGAACAAGCGCAAAACACACAAUUUUAGAUAGCCAAAUAAACCAAAAAAAAAACCAAAAAUAACAAACAAAUUAAAUAAAACAAAAUAUAUUUAAAAGAAAAUAAGGGUAAAACAACAGAGAACACUUAAAAAAUAGCAUUAAACAAGUGGCCGCCAAAGAGAAAGUAGUGCAAGAAAGGAAAAUAUGUGACGUAAAAACCGGAAAGCAAUGUCAUCAGCCCUGUGCAAAGUGCAUUGCCUAAUUGCCAAACUAAGAACUAUUCUAAAAGCCAAAUAAAACUAGCAACUUGAAAA